GAAACAGUUGCUAAGACUGGAUAGGAAAAGUAAAGGCAUCUUUACUUUUUUAAAAGACCUUCUUUGAAGGUAUGCUUAAGGAGGGGCUUGCGACACAUUAGUUAGUUGGCAGGGUAAAGGCCUACCAAGACUAUGAUGUGUAGCUGGACUGAGAGGUUGAACAGCCACAUUGGGACUGAGACACGGCCCAAACUCCUACGGGAGGCAGCAGUAGGGAAUUUUCGGCAAUGGAGGAAACUCUGACCGAGCAACGCCGCGUGAACGAUGAAGUACCUCGGUAUGUAAAGUUCUUUUAUUAAGGAAGAAAAAAGAGUGGAAAAACUCCCUUGACGGUACUUAAUGAAUAAGCCCCGGCUAAUUAUGUGCCAGCAGCCGCGGUAAUACAUAAGGGGCGAGCGUUAUCCGGAAUUAUUGGGCGUAAAGGGUGCGUAGGCGGUUUAAUAAGUCUAUAGUUUAAUUUCAGCGCUUAACGCUGUUGUGCUAUAGAAACUGUUUUACUAGAGUGAGUUAGAGGCAAGCGGAAUUCCAUGUGUAGCGGUAAAAUGCGUAAAUAUAUGGAGGAACACCAGAGGCGUAGGCGGCUUGCUGGGACUUUACUGACGCUGAGGCACGAAAGCGUGGGGAGCAAACAGGAUUAGAUACCCUGGUAGUCCACGCCGUAAACGAUGAGUACUAAGUGUCGGGUAAAACCGGUACUGAAGUUAACACAUUAAGUACUCCGCCUGAGUAGUACGUACGCAAGUAUGAAACUUAAAGGAAUUGACGGGACUCCGCACAAGCGGUGGAUCAUGUUGUUUAAUUCGAAGAUACACGAAAAACCUUACCAGGUCUUGACAUUUUUUUGCGAAGUUAUAGAAAUAUAAUGGAGGUUAUCAGGAAAACAGGUGGUGCAUGGUUGUCGUCAGCUCGUGUCGUGAGAUGUUAGGUUAAGUCCUAAAACGAGCGCAACCCUUGUCGUUAAUUGCCAGCAUGUAAUGAUGGGGACUUUAACGAGACUGCCAAUGAAAAAUUGGAGGAAGGUGGGGAUUACGUCAAAUCAUCAUGCCCCUUAUGAUCUGGGCUACAAACGUGAUACAAUGGUUGAUACAAAGAGUAGCUGAAACGCGAGUUCUUAGCCAAUCUCACAAAAUCAAUCUCAGUUCGGAUUGAAGUCUGCAACUCGACUUCAUGAAGUUGGAAUCGCUAGUAAUCGCGAAUCAGCAUGUCGCGGUGAAUACGUUCUCGGGGUUUGUACACACCGCCCGUCA
rnacentral:rRNA from 1 species